ACGCUCGACACCUACGGAGGCAGCAGUAGGGAAUCUUCCACAAUGGACGCAAGUCUGGUGGAGCAACGCCGCGUGAGUGAAGAAGGUUUUCGGAUCGUAAAGCUCUGUUGUUGGCGAAGAAGGAUAGAGGUAGUAACUGGCCUUUAUUUGACGGUAAUCAACCAGAAAGUCACGGCUAACUACGUGUCAGCAGCCGCGGUAAUCUGAGCGGGCUGGCAAGGC
rnacentral:rRNA from 1 species